GAUCAUGGCUCAGGACGAACGCUGGCGGCAUGCCUAAUACAUGCAAGUUGAACGAUGAUGUUCUCUGCUUGCAGAGAAUUGAAGAGUAGCGAACGGGUGAGUAACACGUGGGGAACCUGCCCAUGAGAGGGGGAUAACAUUCGGAAACGGAUGCUAAUACCGCAUAAUGCUUUGGACCGCCUGGUCCAGAGACGAAAGACGGCUUUUGCUGUCACUCAUGGAU
rnacentral:rRNA from 1 species